rnacentral:rRNA from 1 species
UACGUAGGGUGCAAGCGUUGUCCGGAAUUAUUGGGCGUAAAGAGCUCGUAGGCGGUCUGUCGCGUCGGGAGUGAAAACUCAGGGCUUAACCCUGAGCCUGCUUCCGAUACGGGCAGACUAGAGGUAUGCAGGGGGAGAACGGAAUUCCUGGUGUAGCGGUGGAAUGCGCAGAUAUCAGGAGGAACACCGGUGGCGAAGGCGGUUCUCUGGGCAUUACCUGACGCUGAGGAGCGAAAGUGUGGGGAGCGAACAGG